rnacentral:rRNA from 1 species
GUCUCCUCGCCCCGGGUAACCAUUCCGCCCCCGGCUCACCUUUACUUCGUGCGCAAACAACCGUUAUCGAAAGAGGAGGGAAGGAGGGGAAAGGGGGUGACAGAGCGAGUGUGUCUCUGCUCUCUCUUUCGCUCUCCCUCUGUCUCCCAAGGCACGAGUAGGUGCGUAGCUUAGCCCAGCUGGGAGUCCGCAGAGCAGCCGCGGGACGGGACGGGUCAUUCUAGUCCUCCUGGGAGCGGCUCGAUCGGGCGCGAGGGGUGGAAAAAACAAGCAGCGCUAGCACUAGCCUGCCGCUCGGUAGGGGCUAAGCCCCAACACUUGUCAGCUAUGGUCCCGACAAAAAAGGAAACGUUACCGUAGACCUUGACUACUCUUUCGGUUCUACCUCUCAAACUGUAGCGGACGUCGGAAACAUCUCCCACCCCAGGUCCUACGUACACUACUACGUACAUCGUAAACAGAACUCCGAAAGACACUCUCACUAGGAAGGUGUAACUGUCCAACGUUUGUACUCAAGGUAGAGGUUACGUAAGAACUUACCACAGUUUCUUCAAGAGUCACGGGAUACACGACCGUCGGACAGUCAUACUUCCUAGGAUGGUCAGUUCUCGAAGAACUCCGUCAUCUCGCCCUCUCCUUAUAUUCUUGGUUAGUUUGAGCUUUAUGCUGAUAUAAAGUAGUAGGACGAGAACCACUAAAGCUUCACGUCGUAAAUGGACAACAACCAUUACUACGACUUGAACUUCUCGCAUAUGACGUUGUGGAUCGACGACGACGUCGUUACCCUUCCAGUGUGGUUGUACCGUCUUCUCUCCCCGUCUCCUUGGCUAGACCGAGAGUACCGUCGGGUGUCAAGAACCAAAAGAGACGUGUAGGUUUAUGAGGACGACCGAGACAAAGUAGUAGAAGGCGAGUUCCCCUUCCACGACUGCUGAACUCCUAAGAACAAGGGUCUCAACCACUGAAUGGUGGUGUACGAUUAGGGUAACUUCUUCGUCCGUUGGUUUCAGGCCCCCAGGAAUGGAUACUACGACUUGUUCUACGACAACAAAGUAGACCUUUAUCAUGGGGGCAUAGGUCAGGAUCCAAAAAGUUGUCCUCUGUAAGGAGACCUGUUAGUUGAGGUCAUCCAUUACUGUCCCGACCCGGUAGUCUACAAGUCAGAAAGAGUCUAAGAGAUUUCAACGCGAAUUUACGACAGAGGAGCUUCAUGUUUCUUAGAUAAUGUUUUUCAUGAGCUCCCACCUUCCUCUCCGAAAAAAGUGCAUUGAGUAGACACAGACUAGAACCAAGACUUCACUCUGCGCUUCAAUUAUUACCUUAACGUAGACAUAGCUCCUACUACCUCGCAAACCUUUGAUCUCCUUCACCAUCUGGUUCGAUAUCGGGUUGUUGUAGAUGAAGACUUCAAACAGAGUGAUGUCUUGGUUCGUUACUCUCCCAAUUGCUUUCAUUGAGAUUAUGAUGAUGCUCAUGAUCGUUGUGAAGAUGGGGAACACACUGGUGCAGACCAAGUUUAAUCACGUACGAUGACAAAGACUUCUUCCGGACGUACACGGGUAAGAAGUAGAAGUUUCCAUACCCGUCCACCGUAUCGACUUUGAGGUUGCUGUACUACUACGGUAGAGUUAACAACGUAUUUAGUGGAGGUCUUUUAGACUUAAACUACAUAACCAAACUACUUUCCCGUCACCCGGACUCCAUAACGGAUCCUUCAGUUAAAUUAAAGGACAAAGUAGAGACAUUAAUUUUUUUUAGGAAGGCUCUGAAGACAAAUGACCAUAUUUAUAACCUACACCAUCAAAUGUAUCGUCCGGAUUAGGACUGUUUAUGCUGAGCAUGUCGAUUCUCAAACUACGACAACGUGCCGAUAAUAUAAUUUUUAACAUACGUACAAGCUACGUAACUGUAACUACAGAGCCAUUUGUUUGACUACGUUCUUCUGUGUGACUCAAAACAAUAGAGUCCUACUCAAACAAUAGAAUACCGCACAAACCAAUAAACGU